AGCUGGGAGAGAAGAUAAGUUGUUGAAAAUGCUAUCAUAAAAUCCUCUGCAACGUGUGGGGACAUAUUGAUAACGUAGACUUAAGGGUGAUGCCUUUCAGUGCCCAGUCCAGGCCCUUGCGGUACUGCAGUCCAUAGUCUUGGAACUCUAUAGUGCCAGUCUGAGGCCAGGCCAGAGGCAGGGAACUGCCCUCCACGGUCCACACAGCCUGGCUUUAUUUUUAAAAAAUCUGAAAACGGAACAAUGUACACCAGUCACCACAUAAACUGGAUAUUUUAUUUUACCAGAGCAUGUACUGCAAGGUGAAUGUGUUGUUUCUAUCAAACCUAACCUGGUGGCCACAAAGCGGGGAAAGUAGGAGGUCUGGUUGAAGUCGACCCUCUUGUUAGCCUGCACAAUGAAGCGGUGCUGUUCUCCGAAGGCCCGUAUGACACUGGCUCCCUGCACCGUCUCGUUGAAGUGGGUGUAGAUGGGCGAGCGGCUCACCGACUCCAGCCUCCGCAGCUGGCAGGAAGUGGCCACGUAGAAACUCUGUAUAAAAAUAAAACAUUACGUUUUAAUGAACCGAAAGUACCAUAUACACAUGGUGUAUAUGUGUGGAAGUGGGUUUUUCACUCCAGCAUUUCUAGUAGAUUUACAGUAUGUAGCCUGCCAUUACUUAGCACUACUAUGUUAGCAGGUGGAAUAAAUCACCAUGCAAAACCAACAACUUGCAAAAUCUGCUAUUUUGGUUUUCAAGAGUCUAAAACUAUUAUUCUCCCACAAAACGGUGUCUCAGUUGGUUAGAAACAUACCUGAACGAAGGCAUAGAGAAUGGCGAGGGGCAGGAUGACGACCGCCGCAAAAGGUGUAGCCAGCAUGACGAUGAUACAGACUUCCAUCAGCUUGAAGAGGUAGCCCAGCAUCAUCUUGAGGCCGUCGGGGAUCAUGCAGUCGAUAGCGUCGAU